rnacentral:rRNA from 1 species
AAACUUGCCCCGAGAUGAGUUCUCCCUGAGACUUUAAAAACUUGCCCCGAGAUGAGUUCUCCCUGAGACUUUAAGUCUCCUGAAGGAACGUUGAAGACUACGACGUUGAUAGGUCGGGUGUGUAAGCGCAGCGAUGCGUUGAGCUAACCGAUACUAAUGAACCGUGAGGCUUAACCUU